AGCAGCCGCGGUAAUUCCAGCUCCAAUAGCGUAUAUUAAAGUUGUUGCAGUUAAAAAGCUCGUAGUUGAAUUUCGGGGUUAGUAGGUUGGUCAUGCCUCUGGUAUGUACUGGUCUCACUGAUUCCUCCUUCCUGAUGAGCCGUAAUGCCAUUAAUUUGGUGUUGCGGGGAAUUUGGACUGUUACUUUGAAAAAUUAGAGUGUUUAAAGCAAGCUAACGCUUGAAUACAUUAGCAUGGAAUAAUGAAAUAGGACGUUCGAUCCUAUUUUGUUGGUUUCUAGGAUUGACGUAAUGAUUAAUAGGGAUAGUUGGGGGCAUUAGUAUUCAAUUGUCAGAGGUGAAAUUCUUGGAUUUAUUGAAGACUAACUACUGCGAAAGCAUUUGCCAAGGAUGUUUUCAUUAAUCAAGAACGAAAGUUAGGGGGUCGAAGACGAUCAGAUACCGUCGUAGUCUUAACCAUAAACUAUGCCGACUAGGGAUCGGAUGAUGUUAAUUUUUAAUGACUCAUUCGGCGCCUUAAC
rnacentral:misc_RNA from 1 species